ensembl:lncRNA
CCUCGACCGCCGGCGACCUGGGCUAGCCAGCCGGAGCCUUCCCGGGGCUCGGCCCGCCCCCCGGAGGCCCUCAUUGGACCGGCUCCGAAUAGCUCUCCAUGAUUGGAGAGCGCUGGCCCGCAAUUACUUGAUUCUACCAAUCAGAUUGCUCGUCCUGACCCGACAGGUUGAAGGCUGUCCUUACGUCUGAGCCACCACCCACUCCCUUACCAUUGGCCGUCGGCAACCGCUUCGUCAAUUGAUUGGAGAAAGUGAAUGUCCAUCAGGGUCACGACGUUCUCGCGGUAAGGAGAGGCGAAAUCGGAAAGACGACUUCCCUCCGAAGGGUAGACGGGCCUACUGGGAUACUGCGGGAGGACUCGGGCAGGCGCUGGGCGGGGUUUUCGCAGCUCCGCGGAACGCCGGGAAGGGGUCACGUCCAGAUGAGGGUUCCGGUUCCGGUGCAGACGGCGGCAGCGGCGUUGCCACGGCAGCGCGGUGGGCAGGUACCUGGGUGGUGAGCUCGCGGUGUUGGAGGAGUUGGAGUUGGAGUUGGCCUCGGUCCUGCGUUGUCCGCUUAGACCCUCGACUUCAUUCACCGCUGCAUCUUCAAGUCAUUGAUUCCAGGUAAAUCAGAGGAACAGACAUCAUGAACAGAAAUAAUACAGGAAGUGAUGUGAUGUGGAAGUUUAACUGUUGUUCCAGAAGUCCAGCAUCUGUGGCACGUAACAUUAGGGACUGUAUCAUUUGCAUGGUCACCUAACUUUUACUCAUAUUGGGUUGGCCAGAAAGUUCAUUUGGUUUUCCUGUAAGCUGGGAAAACCCGCACGAAUUUUUUGGCCAACCCAAUACUUACAGUAAGUUUUGUGUUUGUUUUUUGUUUUUUUUUUAAUAAAUAUUGAGUUUGUUCCAGAAAACCUAAAUUGUUCAUUGCCUACUCUAAGCUGCCUGAUUCUCUUCUUGUGUUCACUGGAAUAGGGAGAAGAAUUUGCAAACCGGUUAUGAGAAUCCGAAAUGUAAAACUGGGUCAUGGGGAGUAGCCUGUUGUUUACCUGGUGUGUAAUAUUGGCUUUGCCAGUACAAUUGACAGACAUUGUAUUAAAUUGAGAAUAUAGCUGUCAUUAAAGACUUAAGAAUAAUCCUUGAGCAGGAAGAAUAUGAACUCUAUGUUUUCCAAACUUACGGUAGAGUUCCUGGUUAUAGUCAAGUAUGGUGAGACUGUGAAAGGCAAGGAUAUGGAAAAGCAAGCGGGGGUUCUUUCAAAGAGCGAAGUGGGAUGGCUUUGAUAGGAUGAUGAAGGGAAAGAGAUCAUGUAUCUACACCAAAGAAACUGAAACAAUACACCUAAAUUUAAGUUUUUUAAUAAAGUAACCUAAAAUAUAAAAUGUUGUAUGUGUUGAAUCUAUUCCUUUCUGUCUUUGACUUAAAACCACUCAUCAGGUGUUGGCACCAAACAUCAGUGAUUUAAAGAAUCAAAGAAAAUAGUAUUCAGAAUAUUUCCUCCAAAGCACCAGCCUCUUGUAUAUAACUUGGCAUCUGAAUUACCAACUUUCUCACUGGAGACUCUAUAGUGAACCUAUGACAAAAAUACACUUUUGAAACAGUUGUAAGGAGUCUACAUUUGUAUGCAAGUGCGUUUGGGGUUCUGAACAGGGACGUCACCCUCUUUAUCAGUUUGUGAUCUCUCCCUUGUGGACAUUAACAGGGAGGUGGGGGUGGGAAGUACAGGGAACUUAGAAUCCUGGGAUUUGGGUCAAAAGUGUAAUUUGGCCCCAAACUAAAUAAUCCUAAUAUGUAAACAUGCAUAUUAGGCAUCCUAAAAAUGUUUUUCUUCCCCAUGUUUAUUUAUAGAUAAGGCUUUACUAUAUUUAGUAAAAUUUCUCCUUUCUACUCACUCUGAAAGCAAAUGCACAGGUUGAACUCAUAGUUAAAACCUUAACAAAUCUGACAUCGUUUCUUCCUAUAUAUCAGCCCUAAACAAAAAGUCAGGAUUAUCCAGCCUAAAGAUGAAACUAUUUGAACACUUGGCAUGUGAGUGUUUUUCAUACCCUAACUUCAGUCCUGAGGUUCAUGCCGCCUUCUGACAGGGUGUGGUUAUUUUGUAUAGGACACAUGACCCAGAAACAUCCGGUAGGUCAGAGCUGGCCAGAGCAUUCUGUGUCAUUUUAAGAGAAAAGUGGCUACUUGUGUUGCAGGAUGGCUGGGGCCCCCAGACAUUCCUGAGCUAGAAUAGCAUUCGAGACCCAGAUUUCUGUAGACCUGAGCCAGAACCCAAGACCUUUCUCCAUGAUGACCUUAGCUCUUGAGUCAUUUUAGAGCAUCUCUGCAACCCUGAAAUUAACUUGAUUCCCUAAAAAUAAUGUGUAAGAAAAUGUGUGGCAGUGCCCAGCCUCCCAGGAGGAGUUUUGCUCACUGGUAAGGCAAAGAUAGAAAUGCCUUUGCAACCUUUACUACCUCUCUAUCUGACAAGACAGCUGGGUUUAUAAAUACUUCUCUGGCCAUGGGCGUGGCCUCAGUUUUGCUAAUUGCAGUUUCUCACAUCAUGUGGGUUCAGCUUAGAGACAGGAAAGGAGGCUUUGUUCAGGCACCCCCUUCUCUGCCUCAGAGGUCCUGUUCUCCAUCUGGGUAAAAUGAAGAAAAAUGCUGUAAAUUGAGUUAGUUCAGUCUAAAGCAAACUGGGGGAGAUUCAAGUGAAAAUGGAUCCUUGAAGAAGCUUUUAUGAAAGCCUGGGUGUCACAGCAGAACCUGAUUCUGUUCUGGGAUUUGGGAUGUAGAGUGUGGGGUCUGGCUUCCAGUCCUGAGCAUCUCGUGUGAACUUAUUGGGAUUGUCCCUGGAAUUUCCCGCCCCUCACAUCUUUCCCCUUCCUUGAUUGGUGAAAAAUAUAUUUGUGACAUUUGAAGUUCAGUUGCUCAGUUGUGUCUGACUCUUUGCGACCUCAUGGACUGCUGCACGCCAGGCCUCCCUGUCCAUCACUGAUUCCCAGAGUUUACCCAAACUCAUGUCCAUUGAGUCGAUGAUGCCAUCCAACUAUCUCAUCCUCUGUCGUCCCCUUCUCCUGCCCCCAAUCCCUCCCAGCAUCAGGGUCUUUUCAAAUGACUCAGUUC